rnacentral:rRNA from 1 species
UACGGAGGGUGCAAGCGUUGUCCGGAAUCACUGGGCGUAAAGGGCGCGUAGGCGGCUCAUGAAGGCUGUGGUGAAAGUCCGGGGCUCAACCUCGGAUCGGCCGUGGCGACUCGUGGGCUGGAGCACUGUAGAGGCGGGUGGAAUUCCGGGUGUAGCGGUGGAAUGCGUAGAGAUCCGGAAGAACACCAGUGGCGAAGGCGGCCCGCUGGGCAGUGGCUGACGCUGAGGCGCGAAAGCGUGGGGAUCAAACAGG